ensembl:lncRNA novel transcript, antisense to KSR1
GAACACCUUGGUAUAACUUUAUUCACAAACUCCAGACACCCAGGCCUGGCUUAGCACAGAGGGCAUGUUCUUGCCAGUGGCAAAAAAACCCGAUACAGCAUGUUUGUUAAUACUAACCAUUUUAAUUUAAAUUAAUAGCAUGUCUGGAAGACAAAUGUAGUUGAUAGAAAAUAUAAAAACUUUACUGUACAAAUUUUACAUCACAUUCAAAAAAAGCAAGUGUGUGGCUUGUGGCCACAGAAGAUGCUAGGUUUGCACGCUGAUGAGAUCCUGGCUAACACUGCUGCAUAGCACAAACUCCAACUGGCUUCACAUUUACGUCUCCACCCUCCCCCCACACCAAAUCAACACAGAAUAACACAGGUUUCCAGGGCUUGCCAUUCCUCUCUGUGACCUCAAGAGGAAAUGCCGUAGGAUGACAGAGGGUGUUUUGAUUUGGUGACAUGGAGAGAUCAACUUUGCUACACACUGCUCACAACCCCAAACUAGCUAGGAUUCAAGACUUCGAGUUAGACAGAAACCCAGGGGGCUGCGGCUCUGGUGGUUAAAGGCAGGCAGUGCAGAGGUGGCAGGCUGAGAGCCAGCUGCCCCCAGUCCUUCAGUUCCACCUUUGGGGCCCAGUGGCUUCUGGGUUCCUUGAAGACAACAGGGCCCCA